GAGUUUGAUCAUGGCUCAGAACGAACGCUGGCGGCAGGCUUAACACAUGCAAGUCGAACGCGUGUAGCAAUACACGAGUGGCGCACGGGUGAGUAACGCGUGGAUAUCUGCCUUUUGGUUCGGAAUAACCCCGGGAAACUGGGGCUAAUACCGGAUGGUUCCUACGGGAUAAAGAUUUAUCGCCAAAAGAUGAGUCCGCGUACGAUUAGCUAGUUGGUGGGGUAAUGGCUCACCAAGGCGACGAUCGUUAGCUGGUCUGAGAGGACGAUCAGCCACACUGGGACUGAGACACGGCCCAGACUCCUACGGGAGGCAGCAGUGGGGGAAUAUUGGACAAUGGGGGCAACCCUGAUCCAGCCAUGCCGCGUGAGUGAUGAAGGCCUUCGGGUU
rnacentral:rRNA from 1 species